rnacentral:rRNA from 1 species
AACGGGAUUAUUCUUUAUAGCUUGCUAUAGAGAAUAGUUAGUGGCAGACGGGUGAGUAAUGCAUAGGAAUCUACCUAGUAGUAUGGGAUAGCCACUAGAAAUGGUGGGUAAUACUGUAUAAUCCCUGCGGGGGAAAGAUUUAUCGCUAUUAGAUGAGCCUAUGUUAGAUUAGCUAGUUGGUAGGGUAAAGGCCUACCAAGGCGAUGAUCUAUAGCUGGUCUGAGAGGAUGAUCAGCCACACUGGAACUGAGAUACGGUCCAGACUCCUACGGGAGGCAGCAGUGGGGAAUAUUGGACAAUGGGCGCAAGCCUGAUCCAGCUAUGCCGCGUGAGUGAGGAAGGCCUUAGGGUUGUAAAACUCUUUCAGUAGGGAAGAUAAUGACGGUACCUACAGAAGAAGUCCCGGCAAACUCCGUGCCAGCAGCCGCGGUAAUACGGAGGGGGCAAGCGUUGUUCGGAAUUAUUGGGCGUAAAGGGCAUGUAGGCGGUUCGGUAAGUUAAAGGUGAAAUGCCAGGGCUUAACCCUGGAGCUGCUUUUAAWCUGCC